AUGGGAUCAUAUAUGAUGAUUUCAAAGACUGUGAGUGCUACGGCCACUCUAACCCGCUGCAGCUACAUAGACUACCUGAACAUUGUGACGUGCGUCAGCUGCAAGCACAAUACCAGAGGACAGAACUGCCCAGCACUGCAGACUGGGCUACUUCAAGAACGCGUCCGCCGAACUAGACGACGAGGGUGGUCUGCAUCGGUCAGUCACAAUGUGUGUUGUGGUGUGUGUAUUUAUUGCGAAUAUCCUUGGCCAUAUGUGUGUGUUACAAAACAGUAUGAAAUGUUGAUCCACCAAGACGUCUUGAUCAGAAAUACAGUUUAG
rnacentral:lncRNA from 1 species